CAGUUCUGGAUAGAUGGUACCAUUCAUG
rnacentral:piRNA from 1 species